GCCGGAGUGUGUGCAUGUUACGUGCACCGUGACUCUGUAACCUCGUACUGCGAGGGGCUGGGAUAUCCGAGCGGCGAAAGUGUGGACAAGCGAAAGCUCUGCUGCGUAGACUUGGUGUUCUGCUUGGUUGCGCGUCGGUUCCAUUCAAGGCGCCACUGUAGAGAGGUGUCCUAAGAGCCGUUAAAGCUAGGGAAACGCGUCAGGCCGGAAACGGAGCAGCGCACCUUGCGCGCGUUGCCGUUGCAGAAGCACACCGAGGAGCAAGUCAGGUCUUAUCGCCCCACACGUCGUCGCGAGGCGAUCCUUU
rnacentral:SRP_RNA from 1 species